GUUUGAUCCUGGCUCAGAGCGAACGUUAGCGGCAGGCUUAACACAUGCAAGUCGAGCGAGAAAGGGGCUUCGGCUCCGAGUAAAGCGGCGGACGGGUGCGUAACACGUGGAUAAUCUGCCUCGUGGCGGGGGACAACAGUCCGAAAGGACUGCUAAUACCGCAUGUCAGGUCGGAAACUCCGGUUUCUGACGAAAAAGAGGGCGCCCGCAAGGGGCUCUCACCACGAGAUGAGUCCGCGUCCCAUCAGCUAGUUGGCGGUGUAAUAGACCACCAAGGCUUAGACGGGUAGCUGGUCUGAGAGGAUGACCAGCCACACUGGGACUGAGACACGGCCCAGACUCCUACGGGAGGCAGCAGUGGGGAAUAUUGGACAAUGGGCGAAAGCCUGAUCCAGCCAUGCCGCGUGAGUGGAUGAAGGCCUGGUCGUAAGACUCUGUGGGAGGGACGGAAAAGGACGUGA
rnacentral:rRNA from 1 species